rnacentral:rRNA from 1 species
GAUGAGCGCUGGCGGCGUGCCUAAUACAUGCAAGUCGAGCGAACAGACGAGGAGCUUGCUCCUCUGACGUUAGCGGCGGACGGGUGAGUAACACGUGGAUAACCUACCUAUAAGACUGGGAUAACUUCGGGAAACCGGAGCUAAUACCGGAUAAUAUAUUGAACCGCAUGGUUCAAUAGUGAAAGACGGUUUUGCUGUCACAUAUAGAUGGAUCCGCGCCGCAUUAGCUAGUUGGUAAGGUAACGGCUUACCAAGGCGACGAUGCGUAGCCGACCUGAGAGGGUGAUCGGCCACACUGGAACUGAGACACGGUCCAGACUCCUACGGGAGGCAGCAGUAGGGAAUCUUCCGCAAUGGGCGAAAGCCUGACGGAGCAACGCCGCGUGAGUGAUGAAGGUCUUCGGAUCGUAAAACUCUGUUAUUAGGGAAGAACAAAUGUGUAAGUAACUAUGCACGUCUUGACGGUACCUAAUCAGAAAGCCACGGCUAACUACGUG